UCUUCAUCCUUCAGCGGAAAAGCCCGUCGUUCCCACCACAAAGACUGAAAGAGAAAACAUGCUCAAACCUGACACCAUCCCUGACCUAAGGUUGAAACUUGAAUGCUGACCAACUGAAUUCUAUCCUAUUUGAUUAAAAAAUAUUUGAAGUGAAUAAAACUUCAAA